GCCUGCUCCAGGAUGCCGCAAGGGAGAACCCGUCCGGGUGCGGCCACCCAACCUCCUGCCAGCUCCGCUCACCCGCGCACCCACCGCCUCCGGAGAGGGACCCCGCACCCGAGCGGGGACAGGCGACGGCCAAGCACAGGCACCCGGGGAAAUCUGUCGACUUGGGAGACCGGAGGAUCCUCGCCGGGCUUCUGCGAUGAACGCCGUGAGCUGGGCACGACUCGCCGUGCUCUUGCUGCCACCGAGUUACGUUACCUAACCACGCUAGCUAACCACGCUAGCUAACCACGCUAGCUAACCACGACGGAGCGUCAGUUAACGGAGGCGAUGCCACUUCCCCACGACACAAGCCACCGCCGGCUCCAUCCCCGCCACCCUCCUCCCAGCCUUCCCAGAUCCCAGGCUAAGGAGGAAAGUUGACGGACCCUUUUGUUUCCAGAGAGCUGGCACGUGUUGUGGUUAACUGGGCUAAUAAAUCUGCCGUGGUCUGUGCCUUUUAA